rnacentral:rRNA from 1 species
AAUUUUGGACAAUGGGGGAAACCCUGAUCCAGCCAUCCCGCGUGUAUGAUGAAGGCCUUCGGGUUGUAAAGUACUUUUGGCAGAGAAGAAAAGGUAUCCCCUAAUACGGGAUACUGCUGACGGUAUCUGCAGAAUAAGCACCGGCUAACUACGUGCCAGCAGCCGCGGUAAUACGUAGGGUGCAAGCGUUAAUCGGAAUUACUUGGCGUAAAGCGGGGGUAGGCGGUUCGGAAAAAAAGAAUUGAAAUCCCAGGGCUCAAACCUGGAACUGCCUUUUUAACUGGCGAGCUAGAGUAAGUCAGAGGGGGGUAGAAUUCCACGUGUAGCAGUGAAAUGCGUAGAUAUGUGGAGGAAAACCGAUGGCGAAGGCAGCCCCCCGGGAUAAUACCGACCCCCAGAAACGAAAGCGUGGGGAGCAAACAG